UAGGUCGGGAGUCCUCAUUUCGGGAGUUUAAAUAGGUCGGGAGGUAUAGUGUCGGCACUGGAGGCGUGACAUAGCCAGGUACUGCAUACAUAGGUGCCAUUGUGUCAGCACUGGGGGUGUCACGUGACCAGGUACUGCACAAGCAAAAUAAAUUUUGUGCAGUGUGUGGUGCAUCUAAUAAUUCUGAUGUGUGUUUUAAACGCAUAAAGGAACAUAACCCAGUAAAAUAAAAAUACAUGAAUUGUGGCAUGAGCGGUGUUCAAGCUUGGCACCUUGACUGUGUCAAACGACCAAUUGUUUACCGUAGGGCGCCUGGCCGCUCCCACCCUGGAGGAAGGUUGCCAGGUACUGCUGCAGGCUCUACUCCCUGUAGAUUCCAUCUGGACGUUGUAUUCGUAA